rnacentral:lncRNA from 1 species
CUAAUUAAACAAUUGGGAUUCUGAGCACUUCUUUGCUCAGAGAAAUGAUUAAUAAUUUCAAAAUUUCAAAAUGUCAAGCUGAUUAUAUAAACCAAAUCACUGAAAUUUUGCAUUUAACUUGGGUCUUGUCUUUGGUCAACAGAAAUAAUGUGAUACCAUGGAUAUACUGUGGAUUUAUUGAAAUGAAGAGCAGUUGCUUCUCUGAUCACCCACAGAUCACAUUUAAAAUGAUUAAUCAUGCAUUACAACAGAUUGGUUAAUUUGGAAAAUUUUAUUAUAUGAGUUUCUAUAUCAUUAUUUUUAUUAUUAUUGCUUUAUUAUAAUUUAUCUCAGAUACAUGAAGUCACUUGGUGCUCUGGUAGCUUUCAUGCGCGUCCGUGUUAAGAGACCACCAAACGGGCUUUGUGUGAGCAAUAAAGCUGUUUAUUUCACCUGGGUGCAGGUGGGCUGAGUCCGAAAAGAGAGUCAGCGAAGGGAGAUAGGGGUGGGGCCGUUUUAUAGGAUUUGGGUAGGUAAAGGAAAAUUACAGUCAAAGGGGGUUUGUUCUCUGGCGGGUAGGAGUGGGGGUCGCAAGGUGCUCAGUGGGGGUGCUUUUUGAGCCAGGAUGAGCCAGGAAAAGGACUUUCACAAGGUAAUGUCAUCACUUAAGGCAAGGACCGGCCAUUUACACUUCUUUUGUGGUGGAAUGUCAUCAGUUAAGGUGGGGCAGGGCAUAUUCACUUCUUUUGUGAUUCUUCAGUUACUUCAGGCCAUCUGGGCGUAUACGUGCAAGUCACAGGGGAUGCGAUGGCUUGGCUUGGGCUCGGAGGCCUGACAUUCCUGCCUUCUUAUAUUAAUAAGAAAAAUAAAACAAAAUAGUGUUGAAGUGUUGGGGCGGCGAAAAUUUUUGAGGGUGGUAUGGAGAGAGAAUGGGCGAUGUUUCUCAGGGCUGCUUCAAGUGGGAUUAGGGGCAGCGUGGGAACCUAGAGAGGGAGAGAUUAAGUUGAAGGGAGGUCUUGUGUAAGCGGUGAUAUUGUGGGGAUGUUAGAAGAAACAUUUGUCAUAUAGAAUGAUUGGUCAUGGCCUGGAUACGGUUUUGGAUGAAUUGAGAAACCAAAUAGAAUAAAAGAAGGAGAAAAACAGGUAUAAAAGGUCUAAGAAUUGGGAUGACUCAGGAUAUCUGAUUAGAGAGUGCCUAAGGAGAUUCAGUAUAGUCCUGCCAGCAAAGAUUAUUUAUUUACUUCAAGAGUUAAGAGUGGCAGUUUGGGGAUAGCACCAGGAGAUAUCAGCUGUGAUGGCUUGGAAAAACAGUGUAAACCGGCAGUGUAAACAAGAGCAGGGCAUGUAUGAGUAGUUGAGAACGGUGAAUAUGAGUAUGACUAGACAGAAGAUAGUGGGGAUGACAAGUUUUUUGGGGCACAGUCUAAGUUGGUCUGGUGUCUGGAAUGAGACUGGGGCCUAAUAAAAAGGAGCGUCUAUACAGGAGCUUAAAUGGGCUGUACCCUGUAGCAUUCUGAGGACAGGCCUGAAUUCUGAGAAGGGAAGGUGGUAAAAGUAUUGUCCAGUCCUUUUUAAGUUGGUGGCUGAGCUUGGUGAGGUGUGUUUUUAAAAGACCUUUAGUCCAUUCUACUUUUCUUGAAGAUGGAGGAUCGUAAGGGAUAUAAAGGUUUCACUGAAUACUAAGAGCCCGAAAAACUGCUUGGCUGAUUUGACUAAUAAAGGCUCAUCUGUUAUCAGACUGUAUUGAGGUGGGAAGGCUAAACUGAGGAAUUAUGUCUGACAGAAUGGAAGAAAUGACUGCGGUGGCCUUCUCAGACCCUGUAGGAAAGGCCUGUACCUAUCCAGUGAAAGUAUCUACCUAGACUAAGAGGUAUUUUAGUUUUCUGACUCGGGGCAUGUUGAGUAAAGCUAAUUUGCCAGUCCUGGGUGGGGCAAAUCCUCGAGCUUGAUGUGUAGGGAAGGGAGGGGGCCUGAAUAAUCCCUGAGGAGUAGUAGAAUAGCAGAUGGAACACUGAGAAGUUAUUUCCUUGAGGAUAGAUUUCCACGAUGGAAAGGAAAUGAGAGGUUCUAAGAGACAGGCUAGUGGCUUGUACUAUAGCAUAACCUGCCUUUGCUGGUAUGUGGCGAUUAGGCCUGGUGGAACCACCAUCAAUAAAUCAAGCGUGAUCAGGUGAGGAACAGGAAAGAAGGAAAUAUAGGGAAAUGGGGUGAAUAUCAGGUGGAUCAGAGAGAUACAGUCAUGGGGGUCAGGUGUGGUAUCAGGAAUAAUGUGGGAGGCCGGAUUGAAGUCUGGGCCAGGAACAACGGUAAUUGUGGGACUUAACAAAGAGUGAGUACAGCUGAAGGAGCCGGGGAGCAGCAGGUAUAUGCGUCAGGUAUGAGGAAGAAAAUAGAUUUUGGAAGUUAUGAGAACUGUAGAGAUUGAGUUGAGCAUAGUUUGUGAUUUUGAGGGCCUCUAAAAGUAUUAGGGCAGCAGCAGCGGCUGCACGGAGACAUGAUGGCCAGCCUGAAACAGUAAGGUCAAGUUGUUUGGACAAAAAGGCUACAGGACGCGAUCCUGGUCCUUACAUAAGAAUUCCGACUGCACAGCCCUGCACUUUGGCUGUGUGUAAUGAAAAGGGUUGGGAUGAGUCAGGGAGAACUAGAGUGGGGGCAAUUUCUAAAGCUGUCUUCAAGGAAUGGAAAGAGGAGUGGGGAAAGGAUUUAGGAUCUAUGGGGUCAGCUAGGUUUCCUUUUGUGAGCUUAUAUAAUGGUUUUGUUAGGAUGGCCAAACCAGGUAUCCAAAGGCGAAAGUAUCCAACCAUGGCCAGGAAGGAAAGGAGUUCUUGUUUUGUAGAAGGGGUUGGGGUUUGAGAGAUCAGUCAGACACGAUUGGCAGGGAGAGCACGUGUGUUUUUAUGAGAAUUAUGCCAAGAUAGGUAACAGAUGAGGAAGAAAUUUGAGCUUGAUUGAAGUAAUGGGGGCUGUCUGUGAAGCUUUGCGGCAGUACAGCCCGGGUAAUUUGCUGAGCUUGAUGGGAGUCAGGGUCAGUCCACGUGAAAGCGAAGAGAGGCUGGGAUUAAUGGUGCAAAGGAAUAGUAAAGAAAGCAUGUUUGAGAUCUAGAACAGAAUAAUGGGUUGUAGAGGCAGGUAUUGAGGAUAGGAGAGUAUAUGGGUUUGGCACCACGGGGUGGACAGACAAAACAAUUUGGUUGAUAAGGCGCAGAUCCUGAACUAACUUGUAAGGCUUGUCUGGUUUUAGGACAGGUGAAAUGGGGGAAUUGUAAGGAGAGUUUAUAGGCUUUAAAAGGCCAUGCUGUAGCAGGCGAGUGAUAACAGGCUUUAAUCUUUUUAAAGCAUGCUGCAGGAUGGAAUAUUGGCAUUGAGUGGGGUAAGGGUGAUUAGGUUUUAAUGAGAUGGUAAGGGGUGCAUGAUCGGUCGCCAAGGAGGGAGUAGAGGUAUCUUAUACUUGUGGGUUAAAGUGGGGGAUAAAAGAGGAGGAUGCAAAGGAGGCUUUGGAUUGGGAAGAAGGGCGGCAAUGAGAUAUAGCUGUAGUCCAGGAAUAGUCAGGGAAGCAGAUAAUUUAGUUAAAGUGUCUCAGCCUAAUAAGGGAACUGGGCAGGUGGGGAUAACUAAAAAGGAGUGCUUAAAAGAGUAUUGUCUAAGUUGGCACCAGAGUUGGGGAGUUUUAAGAGGUUUAGAAGCCUGGCCGUCAAUACCCACAACAGUUCUGGGGGCAAGGGAAACGGGCCCUUGAAAAGAAGGUAAUGUGGAGUGGGUAGCCUCCGUAUUGAUUAAGAAGGGGACGGGCUUACCGUCCACUGUGAGACUUACCCGAAGCUCGGCGUCCGUGAUGGUCUAGGGGGCUUCCGAGGCGAUUGGGCAGUGUCAGUCUUCAGCCUCUAAGCCGAGAAGAUCUGGCAAGGAGUCAGUCAGAGAGCCCUGGGCCAGAGUUCCAGGGGCUCUGGGAGUGGCUGCCAGGUGAGUUGAACAGUCUGAUUUUCAGUGGGGUCCCACACAGAUGGGACGCGGCUUAGGAGGAAUCCCGGGCUGCGGGCAUUCCUUGGCCCAGUGGCCAGAUUUCCAGCACGCGUAGCAAGCUUCUGUGGGAAAAGGUUCUGGAGGAACGCCUGGCCACUGCACUUCAGGCAUUUGGAAGUUCUUAUGUGCUGGAGAUGUGGCUGGGGUUUGUCUCACAGUGGAGGCAAGGAAUUGCAACUUUUUUCUAUUAUUGUACACAUUGAAGGUGAGGUUAAUUAAAUCCUGUUGUGGGGUUUGAGGGCCAGAAUUUAAUUUUUGGAGUUUUAUUUAAUGUUGGGAGCAGACUGGGUAAUAAAAUGCAUUUUGAGAAUAAGACGGCCUUUUGACAUUUUAGGGUCUAGGGCUGUAAAGUGUCUCGGAGUUGCUGCCAAACAAGUCAUGAACUGGGCUGGAUUUUUAUAUUUGAUGUAAAAGCCUAAACGCUAUCUGAUUUGGGAUAAAGAGAAAGGAGCAUUAACCUUGACUAUGCCUUUAGCUCCAGCCACCUUUUUAAGAGUAAAUUGCUGGGCAGGAGGGGGAGGGCUAGUCACGGAACGAAACUGUAAGCCGGACCAGGUGUGAGGAGGGGAGGUGAUAAAAAGAUUAUAGGGUGGAGGAGCAGAGGCUGAGGAAGAAUUGGGACCUAGCUUGGCCUGGCAAGGAGCAGCCUUGGGAGGAAGGGAGAGGUCAGAUGGGUCUGUAGAAAAGGAAGAUUAGAAAGACUCAGCGACGCUUGGGGUUGGUACUGAGGGGACAGGCGGAAGGGAAAGAAGGAAGAUUUGGGAUGAGUUGCACUGGGCACAGAGACUAGGAAAGGACUGAUGUGUAAAAGAAUGCCUGGACAUCAGGCACCUCAGACCGUUUGCCUAUUUUACGACAAGAAUUAUUUAGAUCUUGCAGGAUGGAAAAAUUCAAAGUGCCAUUUUCUGGCUAUUUGGAACUGCUGUCGAGUUUGUACUGGGGUCAAGCGGCAUUGCACAAGAAAAUAAGCCAUUUAGGUUUUAGGUCAGGUGUGAGUUGAAGAGGUUUUAAGUUUUUGAGAACACAGGCCAAGGGAGUAGAAGGAGGAAUGGAGGGUGGAACGUUGCCCGUAGUGAAGGAAGCAAGCCUAGAGAAAAGAGAGAGUAGAGAAACAGAGGGAAGGGGUUCGGGCAUUCUUACCUUCCAGAAAAGUGGGAAAAGGGGUUGGGGUGCAGAGAUAAGAGGUUGGGGCAGGGAAAUAAGGGAUGGGGCGCAGAAAUAAGAGGUUGGGGCAUGGUAUUAAGGGACUGGGGUGCAGAGAUAUAAGAGGUUGGGGCACGGAAAUAAGGGAUUGGGGCACAGAGAUGCGAGGUUGUGGCACGGAAAUAAGGGAUUGGGGCACAGAGAUGUUGGGGCAUGGAAAUAAGGGAUUGGGGGUUCUUGCCCCGUAGAAAAGCGGGACUUGCCGCUAAGGGUGAAGGAGAAGGGGUUGAGGGGUACUUGCCCCUGCCCCAGAAAAGCAGAGAAGGGGUAGAGACAAGGAGAGAAGGGGUUGAGGGGUACUUGCCCCUUCCCCAGAAAAGCGGGACUUGCCGCUAAGGGUGAAGGACCAAGGCAGGCGUCCCUGCGUGGUCUGACACCUUUGAAACAUGGGUGAAUAAUCAGAGGCGUCCCUGCAAUGAUUAAACACCAAGGGAAGACUGCCUUCCCAGUCCGUGACCGGCGCCGGAGUUUUGGGUCCACGGAUAAAACGUGUCUCCUUUGUCUCUACCAGAAAAUACCAGAAAAUGAAAGGAAUUGAAAUUAAGAGAAGGGAGAGAUUGAAGUGUGGCACCAAGAUUGAAAGGAGAAAGAGGUUGAGGGUUAGUGAGGGAGGUUGGAGAAGAGAGUAAAAAGAGGCCGCUUACAGGAUUUGAAAUUGGUGAGAUGUUUCUUGGGCUGGUCGGUCUGAGGACCUGAGGUCGUAGGUGGAUCUUUCUCACGGAGCAAAGAACAGGAGGACGGGGGAUUGAUCUCCCAAGGGAGGUCCCCCGAUCCGAGUCACAGCACCAAAUUUCAUGCGCGUCCCUGUGAAAAGACCACCAAACAGGCUUUGUGUGAGCAGUAAAGCUGUUUAUUUCACUUGGGAGCAGGUGGGCUGAGUCCGAAAAGAGAGUCAGCGAAGGGAGAUAAGGGUGGGGCCGUUUUAUAGGAUUUGGGUAGGUAAAGGAAAAUUGCAGUCAAAGCGGGUUUGUUCUCUGGCAGGCAGGAGUGGGGGUCGCAAGGUGCUCAGUGGGGGUGCUUUUUGAGCCAGGAUGAGCUAGGAAAAGGACUUUCACAAGGUAAUGUCAUCACGUAAGGCAAGGACUGGCCAUUUACACUUCUUUUGUGGUGGAAUGUCAUCAGUUAAGGUGGGGCAGGGCAUAUUCACUUCUUUUGUGAUUCUUCACUUACUUCAGGCCAUCUGGGCUUAUAUGUGCAAGUCACAGGGGAUGCGAUUGCUUGGCUUGGGCUCAGAGGCUUGACAGUAGCCACAGUCUGGAUAAGGAUAAGCAACUGGAUCAUAACAAUCAUGCAAUGAUACAUCAGGACCCUCGACCUCACAACAUUUUGUCUACCAUAUGCUUAAAAGAAGAGCUAAAAUUCUAUAAGGGCGAGAAAGACCAUCAACAAUCAACAUAACAGAUAACUACAUUAUGUGAUAUUUUAGAAGUUGAUAGCCUCAUUAAAAAAAGAAAGAAACAGUAGAGCAGAGUAAGGAAGAUAAUAAGAAUCUAGUGGCCAGAAGAGGCAAAUUGUAGUAAUAAAUAAGAAGGUCCAGAUAGGACGCAUUGAGUCAGUGACAUUUGACCAAAAUUUUGAAAGAGAAGAAAUGUUUCACUAAUUGGAUAUCUGCGAGCGGAGCAUUCCAGGCAGAGGGGACUGCAAGAGCAAAGGCGGUUGCUCAGGAGCCUGCUUGCGGAGACAUCAGGAGCAACGUUAGCAAGAAAAAGGAGGAAAGGUAACUGGCACAAGAUCAUGGGGCCCGUGUAAGCCAUCAGUUGUUAAAGCAGUGAAUAUUAUUGCUGAAAUAACUGAAGAAAAGUUACUGAUUCCUAUCUAGGACAAAGAUGGAUAAUUAUGAAUGCCCUGCCUUACUGAUAAUCCUUCAACAUGAAAUCCAGAACCUGAGUUAUUACAAAUUUUAUAAAUUUUCACUUUGUUAUAAAAGAAAGCAUACAGUCUACAUUUUGCCUUAUUUGAUAAAUAAUAGAUUCAUAUCAAACACUUCAUAAAAUUUCUGUUAAAACCAAAUUACAAAACAUUCUGGGAAUAGAUUAGUGCCGAAGUAAAUAGACUUCACUUAUCCCAAUCUCUUUCUUUGUCUUCCUCAUUCUAUUUAACAAAACUACCAAAAGGAUGUACAAAGACUGAUGAUUUUUAAUAAAAAUUAGAAUAAAUAACAACAUGCUAAAAAUGUAAAAAUAUUUUCUGAAAGCAUAUAUGCAGAUGAGUCUAGAGAGUGGGUCUGAGGGCAUUAAUUUACAGGAAGAGAAAUCACUGUCCUGUAGGCAUAUUUCUGUAUUGCAUGGGACUAUGAGAGCUUAAUAACAAGACCCUCAGUUGGGUGGAGGGUGGGGUGGUGUCUACAGAAAGCACAAAUAACGCUGUUAUUGAAGGGUAAGAAGCAGUAGUACAACUCACCUAGAUAAAGCCCACUCUGGAAGUUUUUAAAAUGGGGAAUUAAAAUAAACAAUUUACAGAAAAAUUAGAAAUAAACUGACAGUCAGUCACUCUGGCAUUCAAGGAAGUAUAAAUUGGCCAGAAGUGGUGGCUCAUGCCUGUAAUCCCAGCACUUUGGGAAGCCAAGGUGGGCGGAUUACCUGAGGUCAGGAGUUUGAGACCAGCCUGGCCAACAUGGUGAAACCCCAUCUCUACUAAAACUACAAAAUUUAGCCCAGCAUCGUGGCUGACGCCUGUUACCCCAGCUACUCGGGAGGCUGAGGCAAGAGAAUCCCUUGAACCCAGGAGGCAGAGGUUGCAGUGAGCCAAGAUUGCGCCUUUGCACUCCAGCCUAGGUGACAGAGUGAGACUUCGUCUCAGAAAAAGAGAGAGAGAGAGAUAAAAAAAAGUAUAAAUUUUGAAAAAAGAAGGGUAUUUUUAUCAGUUAUAUAUUUUUAGUUAAUUUUAUAUUGGAUAUAAUAUCCACUAUGGUUGAAGUGCCUGUUAAGAAGGUCUCUCAUAUAUGUAAAUAUCAAAACAAACCAUGUACUGCUAAGGAAUAAUUAGCCUACAUGGAUAAACAUUAUCAAUAUACAUAGACCUUAAUCUCAGAUAUGUGAUUUCUAGGAAUCUCAAUUAAAGAAUUUAAUCCUGCUUUGUGUUUAAAAUUUUGUCUACAAGAGCCACUUUAAUAGGAAAAAGAAGAAAACAAUCUAAAUGUUUAACUGAUAUUUGUUAAUGGUUAAAAUAAAUUACUGCUUAUUUAUCAGUAAAAUGUUUUAUUGCCAUUAAAAAUAGCUUAUAUUAAAUGACUUGAAAAUAUUUUCUUUCCCUUAUAUGUCAUUAAGCUAAAUAUGUGCUAUGAACCUGUAUGGUGUUUUGUAAAAAAGAAAAAAAAGCCUACUGAAACAAAGAUACACAACAAGAUUUUGAAUAUUGGUAAUAUUUUGUGUGACUUUUACUUAUUUGUUUUCUUGCUUUUCUGUUUCCUCCCCUCUAAGUUUUCAAAAACAAACAUGUAUUUCUUCUGUCGCAAAAAAAAAUAAAAGAAAAAUUUACAACAAUGGUUUAUCAAUUUACUAACAAAAUAAAUUUCUCUCUUAAUGUUCUAGUAUUAAAUAUUUUCAUUAUUUUUUAAAACACAUUCAAAAGUACAGUUGACCCUUGAACAACAUAGGUUUGAACUACACCAAUUUUCUUCCAUGCCUGCCACCCUUGAGACAGCAAUACCAACCCCUCCUCUUCUUCCUCCUUCUCCUUGGCCAACUCAACAUGAAGAUAACAAGGAUGAAAACCUUUAUGAUAAUGUACUUCUGCUUAAUGGAUAAUAAAGAUAUUUUCUCUUGCUUAUGAUUUUCUUAAUAAUAUUUCCUUUUCUCUAGAUACCUUGUUGUAAAAACACA